CAUAGGCCUCAAAUAAUGUGA
rnacentral:rRNA from 1 species